AGGAUACUAUGGUAAUUCUAGAGCUAAUACAUGCUUCCAAGCUCGACUUUCCGGAAGAGCUGCAGUUAUUAGAUCCCGAACUGACCCAGGGUUCCCCUGGACUCAAGUUGAUUCAUACUAACCGAGCGAAUCGUGUUUCACGAUUGGCCAAUCAAGUUUCUGACCUAUCAGCUUCCGGCGGUAGGGUAUUGGCCUACCGUGGCUUUGACGGGUAACGGAGAAUUAGGGUUCGAUUCCGGAGAGGGAGCCUGAGAAACGGCUACCACAUCCAAGGAAGGCAUCAGGCGCGUAAAUUACCCAAUCCUGAUACAGGGAGGUACUGACANGAGAUAUCAAUACAAGGCUUUAAUGUUUUGUAACUGGGAUGAGUAGAAUUUAGACCGCGAUACAUGUAUCAAUUGGAGGGCAAGUCUGGUGCCAGCAGCCGCGGUAAUUCCAGCUCCAAUAGCGUAUAUUAAAAUUGUUGCGGUUAAAACGCUCGUANUUGAAUAUUUGCUGAAAAUAGCUGGUCCAUCCUAGUGAUGAGCACCUGGCACGUUUUCAGCUCUUCGUUGGGGAUUCUGUUUGCACUUUACUGUGUGGCAUACGAACCAAUUCUUUUACUUUGAGGAAAUGAGAGUGUUUCAAGCAGGCGUUUGUCGUGAAUACGUUAGCAUGGAAUUAUAACACAGGACCUGGUUCCGAAAGUUGUUGGUUUUUGGANCGAGGUAAUCAAAAUAGGGAUAGUUGGGGGCAUUCU
rnacentral:rRNA from 1 species